GACGAACGCUGGCGGCGUGCCUAAUACAUGCAAGUCGAGCGAGACUCUUCGGAGUCUAGCGGCGGACGGGUGAGUAACACGUGGGCAACCUGCCUGUAAGACUGGGAUAACACCGGGAAACCGGUGCUAAUACCGGAUAAUCCUUUUCCUCUCAUGUGGGAAAGCUGAAAGUCGGUUUCGGCUGACACUUACAGAUGGGCCCGCGGCGCAUUAGCUAGUUGGUGAGGUAACGGCUCACCAAGGCGACGAUGCGUAGCCGACCUGAGAGGGUGAUCGGCCACACUGGGACUGAGACACGGCCCAGACUCCUACGGGAGGCAGCAGUAGGGAAUCUUCCACAAUGGACGAAAGUCUGAUGGAGCAACGCCGCGUGAGCGAUGAAGGCCUUCGGGUCGUAAAGCUCUGUUGUGAGGGAAGAACAGCAUCCGGAGGAAAUGCCGGAGGUUUGCCGGUACCUCACCAGAAAGCCCCGGCUAACUACGUGCCAGCCGCCGCGGUAAGAC
rnacentral:rRNA from 1 species